GACGAACCGUGCGAACGUUAUUCGGAAUCACUGGGCUUAAAAGGGCGCGUAGGCGGGCCGUCAGGUCCGGGGUGAAAGCCUCCAGCUCAACUGGAGAAGUGCCUUGGGAUACCGGCGGCCUCGAGGGAGGCAGGGGCGUGCGGAACUUCGGGGUGGAGCGGUGAAAUGCGUAGAUAUCCGAAGGAACACCGGUGGCGAAAGCGGCGCGCUGGACCUCUUCUGACGCUGAGGCGCGAAAGCCAGGGGAGCAAACGGG
rnacentral:rRNA from 1 species